rnacentral:rRNA from 1 species
GUAAGGGAAGAACGUUAUUAGUAGGAAAUAGGCUAAUAAGUGACGGUACCGUUACCACGAAAGGGACGGCUAACUACGUGCCAGCAGCCGCGGUAAUACGUAGGUCCCGAGCGUUAUCCGGAAUUAUUGGGCGUAAAGGGCACGUAGGCGGACAAAUAAGUUUGAUGUCAAAUAAUGAUGGCUCAACCAUCAAGAGGCGUUGAAAACUGUUUAUCUAGAAUCUCGGAGAGGUAAGUGGAAUUCCAUGUGUAGCGGUGGAAUGCGUAGAUAUAUGGAGGAACACCAAUGGCGAAGGCAGCUUACUGGACGAAGAUUGACGCUGAGGUGCGAAAGCGUGGGUAGCAAACAGGAUUAGAUACCCUGGUAG